UACAGAGACUGCAAGCGUUAUUCGGAUUCACUGGGCGUAAAGGGUGCGCAGGCGGCCAAGUGUGUUAGGCGUGAAAGCCCGGAGCUCAACUCCGGAAUUGCACCUAAAACUACAUGGCUAGAGCAUUGGAGAGGGAAGCGGAAUUCACGGUGUAGCAGUGAAAUGCGUAGAUAUCGUGAGGAACACCAGAGGCGAAGGCGGCUUCCUGGACAAUUGCUGACGCUCAGGCACGAAAGCGUGGGGAGCAAAAGGG
rnacentral:rRNA from 1 species